rnacentral:rRNA from 1 species
GAGUGCAUGAAGCUGGAAUCGCUAGUAAUCGCGGAUCAGAAUGCCGCGGUGAAUACGUUCCCGGGUCUUGUACACACCGCCCGUCACACCAUGGGAGUCGGGAAUGCCCGAAGCCGGUGGCCCGAUCGAGAGAAGGGAGCCGUCGAAGGCAGGCCGGAUGACUGGGGUGAAGUCGUAACAAGGUAAC